CUAGCCCUACCAUGAAGUAGUUACAGAAAGACAAACAAGUUAGAGUACCCACCAUUCACCAUUUUCUAAGCAAUCUUCUAAAUAAGACUUUCUCUUGUCUUUCUCUUCUUCAUCAAAUUCUCUCCUUCUACUAUCAAAUCAAAUCUCAAUCUUUCCAUGUAUUAAUGGAGCAAGCAAGAUGCUGGAUGUGGACUAAGCAAAACCCUAAUAGAUUGAGCAGUUCUCAUCUUCAAGCAUCAUCAUAUGAAGAUUCAUGGGAAGAACAAGCUUUUGCAGAAGAUGCAGCUGGUCCUUUAGGAGGUUGUAUAUGGCCACCAAGAUCUUAUUCUUGCAGCUUUUGUAAGAGAGAAUUUAGGUCUGCUCAAGCUCUUGGUGGUCAUAUGAAUGUCCAUAGAAGAGAUAGAGCAAGACUUAAACAAUCUCCACCUGAAAAUGAAAUUCUUCCUCUUCAAAAUCAUAGCAAUUUGUUUCAAAAUCCUUAUACUUCUUUGGGUUUUCCAUACCCAUCUCAUCAGAUUUGUUCUUUGGUUUGUAACCCUAACCCUAAUUCUGAUCCUACUUUUAGUAAGGUUUCAUCAAUCUCCCCUAUUCAAGAUAAUUGCCAUGAAAUGAAUUUCUUCCCUAGUUUUUCUGCUUCUACUACUAAAGAAGAAAACCAUAAGAGCUCUUAUAGAUCUCCGACUAUGGAUCGAUACUACGACGUUGUUUCGGAUCCUGAGAGUGAAAAAGAGAAGAAUUUGACAAUUCUAGAAUCAGGAUGUAGGGCUAAAGUGGAUAAUUAUGUCAAGACGGAUCUAUCUGUGAGUUUAAACUUAGUUGUUCGAAGAACUCGACCAACGAUAUCUAACGGUCAUGACGAACACGACGAUGAGGGCGCUAUAAGCUGCAAAAGAAGGAGAAUCAGUACUUCAUCAGUGCCCUUCUUCAUGAAGUCAAAUUUAUCAACUGAUAAACAUCAUGUCGGGUCAGAGUUAUUCGGAAUUAGUCCUUUCUCUAUAGAGGAAUUGGAUCUUGAACUCAGGCUUGGCGACAGGCCAAAGGUGUAAAGGGAAAAAAUGGGGAAAAGAAAACGAGAGCGAAGGGAGCGGGAAAGGCAAAGUGAAAGAGACAAGAGAUGGGAAAGGGGGUCAAAUAGUCGAGAUAACCCUUUACAGUGCCAUGAUACUGAUAGUGAAAGCAGUGACGAAGUAGUCGAAGUUUCACCAGGAGGGGGUAAAUUAUUCCAGAUUAAUUUACAUCACCAUGGGGAUCUUGGUGACUUGGCCUAUUAUGGUGGGGAAGUUCAAAGUAGGAUAUACCAUAUUGGUGAGAUUGAAAUGUCCGACCUUGACAAAUGGUGUAGGAGGCUAUACGGCGGAAAAGCCAUUGUUGAUUACCAUUGGUGUCCGAAGGGAAUCGAAUACCGGGUGGGAUAAAGGCGAUAAACCAUAAAGAUAUUCUCACACCAUUUAACUUUGGACGUAAAUUUGCAGUUUCUGUGGACAUGAAUGAUAGGGGUUUGCUUCUCCAAGAAGAACAAUCAGACAUUGUGUUUGUUCUGAACAACACAAAGUGCUCUUAUGGGAAUAUUAUAACAGUGUUUUGUCUCGGGCCAUUGUCAAACGGAAGAUGCCCUUAUGACAUCAAAGUGAAGUUUGAUGAAUCGUCAAUGCACAGGUUUCAUUCUUCUACCAAGAAUUUUCAAGACACCAACAAGUAUUACCGUUCAUUGACAGGAUUCCUUCUUGAUAGUAGCGACCAAGAGUUUUUUGCUGACGGGUUGAUCAAGAUGGAAAUUUCGGUAUAUCGAUCGUUGGAGCUUGGUUCUGCAGAUGAUGUUUAACGCUGCCCUUAGUCAAGAUGUUUUCUGGUUUUCUGUUGUAAUUUGAAAUAUUCUAGUAUAGGUUUUAUUUUUUUGCUUGAUGAAUAUUGUAAUAUGGUUGAUUAAUAUUAUAGUUGUAAUUCGUAGUUGUUUUAUUUUUGGAAAUUUUUAUAUAUUAUGGUUGAUUGAUA